AGAAUCAACGCUGGCGGCGUGCCUAACACAUGCAAGUCGAACGAGAAAGUGGAGCAAUCCAUGAGUACAGUGGCGCACGGGUGAGUAACACGUGACUAACCUACCCUUGAGUGGGGAAUAACCUGGAGAAAUCUAGGCUAAUACCGCAUAGCACCUACGGGUCAAAGGAGCAAUUCGCUUAAGGAGGGGGUCGCGGCAGAUUAGCUAGUUGGCGGGGUAAUGGCCCACCAAGGCAGUGAUCUGUA
rnacentral:rRNA from 1 species